AGGCUUAUAGCUCAGUGGAUAGAGCACCAGAUUCCGGUUCUGGAUGUGGAGGGUUCGAGUCCCUCUAAGCCUA
rnacentral:tRNA from 1 species